rnacentral:rRNA from 1 species
AUUGAACGCUGGCGGAAUGCUUUACACAUGCAAGUCGAACGGUAGAGGGGGCAACCCCUCGAGAGUGGCGAACGGGUGAGUAAUAUAUCGGAACGUGCCCAGUCGUGGGGGAUAACGUAGCGAAAGUUACGCUAAUACCGCAUACGAUCUAAGGAUGAAAGCGGGGGAUCGCAAGACCUCGCGCGAUUGGAGCGGCCGAUAUCAGAUUAGGUAGUUGGUGGGGUAAAGGCUCACCAAGCCAACGAUCUGUAGCUGGUCUGAGAGGACGACCAGCCACACUGGAACUGAGACACGGUCCAGACGCCGUCGGGAGGCAGCAGUGGGGAAUUUUGGACAAGGGACGCAAGUCUGAUCCAGCCAUUCCGCGUGCAGGAUGAAGGCCCUCGGGUUGUAAACUGCUUUUGUACGGAACGAAAAGGUCUCUCUUAAUACGGGGGACUCAUGACGGUACCGUAAGAAUAAGCACCGGCUAACUACGUGCCAGCCGCCGCCGUAA